AGGUCAAAAUGGAAAGGUUUUGCAAGAAUUUGAAACAAUAGCUACAAAUACGUUGUUCAAUUUAUAACAAUGAGAAACAUAUGGAUAGGCCUUUUUGAAUACUGGAGUUCCACCAUUCAGAGCAAAAAGGGCACUAGAAGAACAGAUGACUGAGAGCUUUCUACUGACUCAAGAUGGAGAAGCAGAAGAGGCAAAGCUGAAGCUACUAGAGGACAUGUUUAAAGAAAAUGAAAAUAGGAGUUUCAGCAUAGGAGACAAGCAAGGAGCAAUAUCAUGCUACAUUGAGCACCAGGGAAGAGAGAUGGAG
rnacentral:lncRNA from 1 species